AUUUGGCCUGCUCUAUGAUUAUAAUUAAAUGGCUGCAGUAUUUUGACUGUACAAAGGUAGCAUAAUCAUUUGUCUUUUAAUUGGGGACUGGAAUGAAUGGUUGGAUGAAAAAUAUACUUUCUUUAUUUUUUUUGAAAAAUUUAAUUUUUAGGUUAAAAAGCUUAAAUAAAUUUAUGGGACGAGAAGACCCUGUAGAACUUUAUUAUAAAUAUUUAUUUAUAUUUUAGAUUGGUAUAAAUUAUAAAUAAUAUAUUUAUAAUUUUAUUGGGGUGAUAGAAAUAAUUUAAUAACUUUUUUUAAUAUGAUCAUUAAUAUAUGAGUUUUUUAUCCYUAUUUAGGGAAUUAAGAUUAAGUUACCUUAGGGAUAACAGCGUUAUUAUUUUGGAGAGUUCUUAUCGAUAAAAUAGAUUGCGACCUCGAUGUUGGAUUAAAAUAAGUGAUAGGGGUAGUACUUUAUUUACUA
rnacentral:rRNA from 1 species